AAAACAGGCUUACUAGUUUCUCCAGGAACCAGCAGGGCAGGGGUUGAAUAUCCAAGUGCCCUCGUGUUGGGGUACCACCUAGUCUGGCCGCCAGCUGCCUUGCCCUAGGGGCUUUCUCUCUUAUGACCUUAAUCAGCUUGUAGAUCAUUAACUCGGCUAAGGCCUUGGUGUAAAUCCACAGGAACCUGUGCUGGCUGAGUCUGGAAACUCCAAGUACUUUCCCCCUGGACAGGAACCCUUGGCAGGCAGCCUGGGCCGGCGGGUGCUGCCUUAUGCCUCGGGAUACUGCUUGAGUGUGAGGGAGGCUCCGCUGCUAACCAUGACCGCUGGGUACAGAGGUUCCAGGAAGGAGGUGAAGAAGCGAUACAGGAGGCUCGUGCCACCCGCCACGCCAUAGAAGGAUAGGCAGCCGGCGCCAAAGUCCAGCGAUACACCGAGCGUGUGGUGAUAGGAGCCGUGCAGCACCGUCUGCGUGUUGUUGUGCCACACUGAGAACUUGAGGGAAUCCCACUCCAGACACCAGGAGUAGGAGUUGCGGCCCAGAAGGUAGACAAUGUUGCGACGCGAGCGACCGGCCAGUGGAGGGUUGUGGCGAGCUGCAGCACACAGCCUGGAGGAAUUACGUCCCCGUGCCAUGUUGGACUUUUCUGGAGGGGCUGGGAACAGAAAGUGCUCUGGAGCCCCAAAGGCAAGUGAGG